rnacentral:rRNA from 1 species
UGGGGAAUAUUGCGCAAUGGGGGGAACCCUGACGCAGCCAUGCCGCGUGAAUGAAGAAGGCCUUAGGGUUGUAAAGUUCUUUCGGUAUUGAGGAAGGUUGAUGUGUUAAUAGCACAUCAAAUUGACGUUAAAUACAGAAGAAGCACCGACUAACUCCGUGCCAGCAGCCGCGGUAAUACGGAGGGUGCGAGCGUUAAUCGGAAUAACUGGGCGUAAAGGGCACGCAGGCGGUUAUUUAAGUGAGGUGUGAAAGCCCCGGGCUUAACCUGGGAAUUGCAUUUCAGACUGGGUAACUAGAGUACUUUAGGGAGGGGUAGAAUUCCACGUGUAGCGGUGAAAUGCGUAGAGAUGUGGAGGAAUACCGAAGGCGAAGGCAGCCCCUUGGGAAUGUACUGACGCUCAUGUGCGAAAGCGUGGGGAGCAAACAGGAUUAGAUACCCUGGUAGUCCACGCUGUAAACGCUGUCGAUUUGGGGGUUGGGGUUUAACUCUGGCGCCCGUAGCUAACGUGAUAAAUCGACCGCCUGGGGAGUACGGCCGCAAGGUUA